GACGAACGCUGGCGGCGUGCCUAAUACAUGCAAGUCGAGCGGAUCUGAUGGAGUGCUUGCACUCCUGAUGGUUAGCGGCGGACGGGUGAGUAACACGUAGGUAACCUGCCCGACAGACCGGGAUAACAUUCGGAAACGAAUGCUAAUACCAGAUACGCGAUUUGGUCGCAUGGCCGAAUCGGGAAAGACGGAGCAAUCUGUCACUGUUGGAUGGACCUGCGGCGCAUUAGCUAGUUGGUGAGGUAACGGCUCACCAAGGCGACGAUGCGUAGCGAACCUGAGAGGGUGAUCGGCCACACUGGGACUGAGACACGGCCCAGACUCCUACGGGAGGCAGCAGUAGGGAAUCUUCCGCAAUGGGCGAAAGCCUGACGGAGCAACGCCGCGUGAGUGAUGAAGGUUUUCGGAUCGUAAAGCUCUGUUGCCAGGGAAGAACGCUUAGGAGAGUAACUGCUCCUAAGGUGACGGUACCUGAGAAGAAAGCCCCGGCUAACUACGUGCCAGCAGCCGCCGUAA
rnacentral:rRNA from 1 species